rnacentral:lncRNA from 1 species
UGAGUCGACCCAAGUGAACUUUAAGUCGACCCAAAGAAUGGUUGGGUCGACCCAUGGGAAGGAAGGCUGAAAUUGAGGUUUCUGUGGUUACUGAGAGGGUCGACCCAAGAAAUGGUUGAGUCGACCCAAGGCAAAGUUGGGUCGACCCAAGGACAGGUUGAGCCGACCCAAACACGGGCUGAACAGUAACGGCUAGUUCUGCAGAUGUACUUUUUGUCCUUCCCAAGGUAUGUAACGGCUAGUUUUUCAAAUCUGACGAAUGGGGCUUGUCCAAGGAAGGUUGAAAACUAUUUAAAGGGGCACUAUUCAUCAGAGAAAAAAACUUUUGAGUGAAAAAUCAAAGAAUACACAAGAAAACCAAAGAGCCCUAAUCUCCUUCAUCAAGAGCUUCAUUCAAGAAUCAAAGAAAGGGAUUGAGCAGAUUUCAAGAGGCAUCAAGAGCUC